GCUCUGGGACCGUCAGGAGCCAGCCCUGAGAGGAGAGCGGUAGGCCACAGAGGGCACUGGCAGGGAUGGAGCAUUAGCCUCAAAUCACUUUGCCUGAAGUGGACAUCAGUAAGGAAACCAGAACCAAACACACAAAAGAGCAGUUCCUGAACACGUGCAACCUACGGGAGACCCCUGGAAAUGACGGGAGACCCCCGGAAAUGAUGGGAGCAGGAGCCUUUACCUCUGGCCUUGUGAAUCCUUCCAUGAGUACUGAGAACUACUGGAGGUCCACACAGCUGACAAGUCAUCACACCAAGUGUGCGCAUAUCCCUCUCAGUUUAUUUAUAAUAAAGCAUCACAUAUUUAGAAAGAAACCGGUUGAAAAAGAAGGAAAUGAAUAUUCAUUUGUUCCUGAAUGAAGGUGAAAGUUUGGUUCCUGUGCUCUUUGUUGCUGCCUCCAAACAGCUCCCACCACUACAACUUUUUCUGAAGCUAUUGUUUGGAUUCAAGGUUUGAGAUGAUUCAAAUACUAUUAUGUUAGUUACUUUUCCUGUGGGAUUAGUCAGUAAGAGGAGAAAAUAACACUGUCUGAUAAAUCAUUGCAAAUAUUUCUCACAUCUGAUUUGAAUAUAGAAUUCAAAGCCUUCCUUUGAAAAAUACUAAAGCAUCUGAAAGCACUGCCCAUGAAUUGCGUUAAGUGUUAGCUUUGCCACAUUUGAAAAAGUCAUUAUGGAGUAGAGGGUAUUGCCUAAGAGAUGCACUGAGAAGAUCUGAACAAAGCCUCCUCACAUAAUAGAUGAAGAAAUGGAGAUCCAGAAAAAUGAAAUCACUUACUUAACAUCACAUGGCAAGUCAAGGGCAACAUGAGCAUAGAAAUUCAAAUGAGUACUCCAAGCCCAAAGUUGCUUUAGACAUACCAGGCAAUGCAAAGCUUUGCUCUGUUCUAAAAUUCAGCUAAGAAGUAUGAGGCAUAUCAUGAAAUCUAGGAAGGUGGUUUCAUCAUUAUCAUGCAGCUACUAGAUCACAAAAUAAUGGCCUUCUUGUCUCCAGAGAUUCCUCUUUGAUAUCAAAUUCAGAAUAUAAUAAAAGAUAAAAAGAA
rnacentral:lncRNA from 1 species